CGUAUUUCUAAAUCAUCUAUUUUUUUUCUGUGAUGACUAAUUAAUUAAAAUUGUAAACAUUACAAUUUAUUGUUUAAUUGUUUAAAAUUUCUAUUAAUUAAUUAUGACAGAUUUCGAAUUAUUUGCCUGGGGAGCAAAUUCUCAUGGUCAACUAGGUCUUGGAUAUGAAUCUGAACAAUCAUUGUUACCUGAAAAAAUAGAUAUAAAAGAAACAAAUAUUAAAAUUGAUGAAAUUAUUAAAAUAACUGGUGGUGGUGGACACACAUUGAUUCUUGAUAAAAAUGGAAAUGUUUAUUCAUGUGGAUGGAAUAAAAAAAUGCAAACUGGAAUACCUGGUGGUGAGACAAUAUCCAAGUUACAAAAAAUUGAAAAUUUAAAUAAUAUUAUUGACAUUGCAUGCGGUUGGGACAGUUCAAUGGCAUUAACAGAAACAGGUGAUAUUUAUGUCUGGGGAUCAAAUACUUAUGGACAAUUAGGAUUGGAAUCACCAGAAGAAUUUAUCAAUAAACCUAUUAAAAUUCAAUUACCAAAUUUUAGAGUUAAAAAAAUAUCAAUGGGACUUAGACACUCAGCAAUUGUUACUCAUGAUGGACAAGUAUUUGUAACUGGAUCCAAUAAUAAACAUCAACUUGGAAUUGUCAAUGAUGACAAUGUUAAAAUUAAACAAAUCAAGAAAUUUACAAAAGUUUUAGAAAUUGAAAAUAUUAUUGAUGUAUCAUGUGGACAAUAUUUCAACAUUGCAUUGUCAAAUAAUAAUUGUGUCUAUUCAUGGGGUGAUAAUAAACAAGGACAACUUGGUUUUGAUAAUAACAAAAUUAAAUAUCAUGAUAAACCAGUUAAAAUUAUAUUUGAUAUUGAUAUUAAAAAUAUAAUUAGCAUAUCAAGUGGCUGGACUCAUUCAAGUGUCCUUACAACUGAUGGUAAAAUAUAUUCAUGGGGAAGAAAUAUCUAUGGACAAUUAGGAUUCAAUGCUAGAAAUAAUUAUUGGCAAGCUAAAUGUGUUGAAAAUUUACGAAUAAUUAAACAAUUAAAAGUUGGAUCAGAACAUAAUAUAACAAUUGAUGAUAAUAAUAUUAUAUCAUCAUGGGGCUGGAAUGAACAUGGCAAUUGUGGAAAUGUGAACAAGAGGCUAAAUUUGUUCAAGAACGUAUUGCUGGUGUUGAAAAGUAUUUCGCUGAAUUAUGUACAGUAUUUGCAGCAUAUACAAGAAAAGCAGCAAGAUUGAGAGAUAAAAAUGAUGAAGUUUCAAAAAUAUUAAAAAUAUAUGCAGAGUCUGAGACAGUUAAUCGUUCAUUAAAUUGUGGUCUUGAGAUGCAGAAGUUCAGAGAUUAGAUACAAAAGUAAUAGCACCAUUAUCACAAUAUUCAAUAAUAUGUAAACAUGCACGUGAAGAUGUUAAAAAUACAUUUUCAAUACG